rnacentral:misc_RNA from 1 species
UUAUGCACCAGUCUUGGCUUAUUACACUGAAAUAAUUUUAUCUUUACUGGCCACAACAAUUUUGCCGCAACUCACUCAGUCGGUAGCUCAUUCAAGAAAAGUUUCAACUCAAAUUUCAGUUCUGAAUCUAUCUGAGUUCUACCAUACCUACCCUGCACCUAUAUCCAAGUCCGACAAAAAGACAACCCGCUAUAUAGAGCGGGCAAGAACCUCGCUUAUAUGGUCAGCCCUUGAGGCUCAGCAGGUGCAGGAGCCUUCGGCGCAGGCUUCUCAACCACGAUAGCCUGUGUCGUCAAAAUCAUCCCCGCCACCGAUGCUGCGUUCUGCAGUGCACACCUUGUCACCUUUGCCGGGUCGAUAACCCCAGCCUCCACCAGAUUCUCGUACGUAUCAGUCAUCGCAUUGUAACCAAACUCCCACUCCCCAUCCUUGAUCUUAUCCACCACCACUUCUCCCUCAACUCCAGCAUUGUUCGCUAUCAAAGCCGCAGGUGCCAACAACGCCUUCUGUAUAAUGUCAGCACCCAGCCGCUCAUCUGCAUCAUCCAUACUAUCCUUGAUGGCAGCCACAUAGGUCGAGAGAUGAACAUAGGCGGCACCACCUCCGGGUACAAUUCCUUCCUCGAUAGCUGCAAAAGUGGCGUUCUUGGCAUCCUCGAUACGGAGUUUCCGGUCCUCAAGUUCGGUCUCGGUUGCAGCGCCAACCUUGAUGACUGCGACACCACCGGAGAGCUUUGCGAUUCUUUCGGCUAACUUCUCAGAGUCGUAAACGGAGUCGGUCUCAGCAAGUUCAUUCUUGAUCUGGGCGAUUCUACCCUGGAUUUCGUCCUUAGUGGCGGCAUCUGCGAUGAGGGUGGUGGAGGUUUGGGAGAUGGUGAUCUUUCUUGCUGUUCCGAGAUCUUCAACUGAUGUGUUCUCUACGGAUAGUCCCAGAUCUUUGGCUUGGAAUUCAGCUCCUGUAACAAUAGCAAUAUCUUGGAGCAGAGCCUUCCGCCUCUCACCAAAUCCAGGGGCCUUGAUUGCAGCAACAUUGACAAUCCCCCGCAGCUUAUUAACAACUAGAGUGGCCAAAGCCUCACCAGUCACAUCCUCUGCAAUAAUCAGCAGAGGAGCCCUCAACUGCGUGGUCUUCUCUAGCAAAGGAAUAAUUUCCUUUAUUGUUGAAAUCUUCUGAUCGGUUACGAGAAUUUUGGCAUUCUCAAACUCCACCAGCAUCUUCUCAAGGUUUGUCGCAAAUUGCGGAGAGAUGUAGCCGCGGUCAAUCUCCAUUCCCUCCUCAACUUCAACAGUCGUCUCAAACGAUGAUGAUGACUCGAUAGACAAAACACCAUCAGGACCAACUUUAUUAAUAGCAUCCGCAAUCAUAUCACCCACAAAUUCAUCAUUACCAGCAGAUACAGAGGCAACAGCUUUAAUAUCACCGCCACCCUUGAUAGGCCGAGCUUUCCUCUCAAGCUCCUCCACCAACCCCUGCACUGCCUUAUCAAUCCCCUUCUUAAUAGACACUGGAUUCGCACCAGAGGUCACACUUAGCAAACCCAACUUAAUAAUUGCCCGUGCAAGAACCACAGCCGUCGUGGUCCCAUCGCCAGCAGAGUCAUUCGUCUUGCUCGCAACCUCGCGGAUCAAGGAAGCACCAGCAUUCUCCAUCGGAUCGGCGAGAUCGAUGGCCCGUGCGAUCGUCACACCAUCAUUGACAACUUUCGGGUUACCGUACUCAUCCAAAACAACAUUUCUCCCUCGAGGGCCGAGGGUGACGCCGACGGCAUCGGCGAGCUUCUCAACGCCGGCCUGGAGGGCAGAGCGGGAGAACUGGUCGAAGGCAAUGUUCUUGGCCCUGGCACUGACGACCAGACGGCGGCUCCUCUGGUAGCGGUGGCCGGAGAGGCUGCUGGGGCGGGGGAUCUGGUUGGGCCGGUGGGAAAGGGAUGUUUGCUGGCGAGGGGGACGGAGGAGGGAGGCGCUGAAGAUUGCGUUCGCCAUCGCCAUUGGAGGAGAAGGAGAUGGAGAGGAGAGACGAC